GACGAACGCUGGCGGCGUGCUUAACACAUGCAAGUCGAACGAAGAGCGAUGGAAGCUUGCUUCUAUCAAUCUUAGUGGCGAACGGGUGAGUAACGCGUAAUCAACCUGCCCUUCAGAGGGGGACAACAGUUGGAAACGACUGCUAAUACCGCAUACGAUCUAAUCUCGGCAUCGAGGAUAGAUGAAAGGUGGCCUCUACAUGUAAGCUAUCACUGAAGGAGGGGAUUGCGUCUGAUUAGCUAGUUGGAGGGGUAACGGCCCACCAAGGCGAUGAUCAGUGGCCGGUCGGAGAGGAUGAACGGCCACAUUGGGACUGAGACACGGCCCAGACUCCUACGGGAGGCAGCAGUGGGGAAUCUUCCGCAAUGGACGAAAGUCUGACGGAGCAACGCCGCGUGAGUGAGGACGGCCUUCGGGUUGUAAAGCUCUGUUAAUCGGGACGAAAGGCCUUCUUGCGAAUAGUGAGAAGGAUUGACGGUACCGGAAUAGAAAGCCACGGCUAACUACGUG
rnacentral:rRNA from 1 species